rnacentral:rRNA from 1 species
UACGAAGGGGGCUAGCGUUGCUCGGAAUGACUGGGCGUAAAGGGCGCGUAGGCGGAUGGUACAGUCAGAUGUGAAAUUCCUGGGCUUAACCUGGGGGCUGCAUUUGAUACGUGUUGUCUAGAGUGAGGAAGAGGGUCGUGGAAUUCCCAGUGUAGAGGUGAAAUUCGUGGAUAUUGGGAAGAACACCGGUGGCGAAGGCGGCGACCUGGUCCUUUACUGACGCUGAGGCGCGAAAGCGUGGGGAGCAAACAGG